rnacentral:rRNA from 1 species
GGACUACCGGGGUUUCUAAUCCUUUUUGCUCCCCACGCUUUCGCAUAUCAGAGUCAGGAGGGCCCCAGUGCACUGCCUUCGCCUUUGGUGUUCCCCACGAUAUCAACGGAUUUCACCCCUACACCGUGAGUUCCAUGCACCUCUAACCCCCUCUAGUCAUGCCGUAUCUCCUGCACUUCCGGGGUUAGGCCCCGGGCUUUAACAGAAGACGCGCAAAACCUCCUACAUGCCCUUUACGCCCAAUAAAUCCGGAUAACGCUUGAGGCCUACGUAUUACCGCGGCUGCUGGCAC